rnacentral:sRNA from 1 species
ACUUUACUACUGAUAAUGCAGAAUGUAAAUUCGUGGAGUUGGGCUAUCGACGAAUACCACGAAAAUUGAGCCACCACGAAUUCCAAUGAUUCUACAGUAUAUCACAGGUUACAAAGAGUCCUCCGAAUACAGUUGGCACACCACGUAGUCCAACAUCGUCUCCAACAAUUGCCUUGUGCUUCACCAUGAAUCGAUGAAUCGAUGAAUUUUACUUCCACGUCUAACCAUCGGAAAAGAUUCCAGGACAGACAUGAGGUCUAACGUAAACAUUACACCAACAACACCGUCGCGAAAGGUCUAUCCUGGCACAGCCCACCGAGAGUCCCUAGAAGUCACAUUUGUAUUUGCCUGAAUGAGGAAGAGAUCAACUAAAUUCUCCAUUUUCGAUUAUUUUAUUUUACAUCUGGAUAAUGUUUGUCACUCACUGACAAUGUUAUUGAAUUUAUAUGUGAUAACGAAAAUAAAUGUCAUAC